rnacentral:rRNA from 1 species
CCCUAGUAACUGCGAGUGAAGCGGGAAAAGCUCAAAUUUAAAAUCUGGUGGCCCUAGGCUAUCCGAGUUGUAAUCUAGAGAAGUGUUAUCCGCGUUGGACCGUGUACAAGUCUCCUGGAAUGGAGCGUCAUAGAGGGUGAGAAUCCCGUCUUUGACACGGACUACCAAGGCUUUGUGAUGCGCUCUCAAAGAGUCGAGUUGUUUGGGAAUGCAGCUCAAAAUGGGUGGUAAAUUCCAUCUAAAGCUAAAUAUUGGCGAGAGACCGAUAGCGAACAAGUACCGUGAGGGAAAGAUGAAAAGAACUUUGGAAAGAGAGUUAAACAGUACGUGAAAUUGCUGAAAGGGAAACGCUUGAAGUCAGUCGCGUUGUCCAGGAAUCAACCUUGCUUUUUGCUGGGUGUACUUUCUGGUUGACGGGUCAGCAUCAAUUUUGACCGUUGGAUAAAGUCUAAAAGGAAUGUGGCAUCUUCGGAUGUGUUAUAGCCUUUGGUCGCAUACAACGGUUGGGAUUGAGGAACUCAGCACGCCGCAAGGCCGAGUAUUUAUACUACGUUCGUGCUUAGGAUGCUGGCAUAAUGGCUUUAAUCGACCCGUUCUUGAAACACGGACCAAGGAGUCUAACAUGCCUGCAAGUGUUUGGGUGGAAAACCCGAGCGCGUAAUGAAAGUGAAAGUUGAGAUCCCUGUCGCGGGGAGCAUCGACGCCCGGACUUGACCUUUUGUGACGGAUCCGCGGUAGAGCAUGUAUGUUGGGACCC